rnacentral:rRNA from 1 species
UACGAACUGUGCGAACGUUAUUCGGAAUCACCGGGCUUACAGGGUGCGUAGGCGGCUUGUUAAGUAGGGUGUGAAAGCCCCCGGCUCAACCGGGGAAUUGCGCCCUAAACUGGCGAGCUGGAGUGAGAUAGGGGUGUGUGGAACUUCCGGUGGAGCGGUGAAAUGUGUUGAUAUCGGAAGGAACGCCGGUGGCGAAAGCGACACACUGGAUCUUGUCUGACGCUGAGGCACGAAAGCCAGGGGAGCGAACGGG